AUACCACUUAUGAAAGUGUCUCAUGAUGAUUCCGUAUGUUUUAUGCUGUUCACACUGCUCACAGAUGACACAUCCCUGUCACGUGACAGACAGAUCACGUUCAGCUGCUGUGUGAACGUAAAUCAUGCUGAAUCUCACGCGCGUGCUGCUGAUGAUUUUACUAAGAUCAGCCGCUUGCCAAGUCGUAGUGUGAAGCAGCCGGGAGAAGAAUAACGCCGGUCAGACGCAGACAGGUAGUCUGACCAGAGGAGGAUGGGUCCCCCGAGCCUUGGUUUCUCCCAAGGUUUCUUCUUCCAGCUCAGGUGGAAGGAUGCAAGUCAACCUUAUCUGGGAAGGGCUGCCCACGCUCAGCGGUGCCUCCUCACACAGCAGACAGGAUGAACAGACGAAUAGAAAUGCUUCAAAAAUCUUCACAAUCUUUUUACACUGACUUCAACGGUUUUUUUUUUUUU